rnacentral:rRNA from 1 species
GACGAACGCUGGUGGCGUGCUUAACACAUGCAAGUCGAACGAAGAGCGAUGGAAGCUUGCUUCUAUCAAUCUUAGUGGCGAACGGGUGAGUAACGCGUAAUCAACCUGCCCUUCAGAGGGGGACAACAGUUGGAAACGACUGCUAAUACCGCAUACGAUCUAAUCUCGGCAUCGAGGAUAGAUGAAAGGUGACCUCUACAUGUAAGCUAUCACUGAAGGAGGGGAUUGCGUCUGAUUAGCUAGUUGGAGGGGUAACGGCCCACCAAGGCGAUGAUCAGUAGCCGGUCUGAGAGGAUGAACGGCCACAUUGGGACUGAGACACGGCCCAGACUCCUACGGGAGGCAGCAGUGGGGAAUCUUCCGCAAUGGACGAAAGUCUGACGGAGCAACGCCGCGUGAGUGAUGACGGCCUUCGGGUUGUAAAGCUCUGUUAAUCGGGACGAAAGGCCUUCUUGCGAAUAGUGAGAAGGAUUGACGGUACCGGAAUAGAAAGCCACGGCUAACUACGU